rnacentral:rRNA from 1 species
UACGGGGGGGGGCAAGCGUUGUUCGGAAUCACUGGGCGUAAAGGGCGCGUAGGCGGCCUGGUAAGUAGGGGGGUGAAAUCCUGCGGCUUAACCGCAGGGCUGCCUUCUAAACUGUCAGGCUCGAGCACGGUAGAGGCAGAUGGAAUUCCUGGUGUAGCGGUGAAAUGCGCAGAUAUCAGGAAGAACACCUAUGGCGAAGGCAGCACUCUGGGACGGUACUGACGCUGAGACGCGAAAGCGUGGGGAGCGAACAGG